rfam:Schistocephalus solidus strain NST_G2 genome assembly, scaffold: SSLN_scaffold0000096
GACCUCGUAGCUUAUUUGGCUAGAGCAUUGGCUAUACUAAAGCCUUCCCCUUGCUGGCGUGGGUUCGAAUCCCACAGAGGCUG